rnacentral:rRNA from 1 species
GUUGCAAAGAUGAAUACAGUGAGGAUUCUAAUCUCAUGUGCAGCUAACUUUGGAUGGCCACUACACCAACUUGAUGUAAAAAAUGCCUUUUUACAUGGAGAUCUACAAGAGGAAGUCUACAUGGAAAUUCCUCCUGGACUUUCUACACCUGGGACUGUUGGGAAGGUUUGUAGAUUGAGAAAAUCUCUCUAUGGUUUGAAGCAAUCGCCAAGGGCUUGGUUUGACCGGUUCAGGCAAGCAGUUUGCAGUAUGGAGUAUAAACAAUGCAAUGGAGAUCACACUGUUUUCUAUAAACAUUCCAAGCAACAGAUUACUAUUCUUGCAGUAUAUGUGGAUGACAUCAUAAUAACGGGAGACAAUGAAGAGGAGAUUGGAAGACUAAAGAAAUGCCUAGGCAAAGCAUUUGAAGUUAAGGAUCUUGGUCAGCUAAAAUAUUUCCUGGGUAUCGAAGUUGCAAGAUCAAAGAGGGGAAUAGCCCUGUCUCAGCGAAAAUAUACCUUAGAGCUCCUAAGUGAUAUGGGAAUGCUUGGAUGUAGAGCAGCCCCAACUCCCAUUGAACAAAAUCACAAAUUGACAGCACAGAUGGGUGAACAAGUUAACAAAGCAAAAUAUCAACAAUUGGUUGGCAAACUUCUGUACUUGUGUCACACUAGACCAGAUAUUACAUAUGCAGUAAGUGUAGUAAGUAGAUAUAUGCAUGACCCCAGAAGUGGACACCUUGAUGCAGUCUAUAGAAUCAUGAGGUAUCUAAAGGGCAGCCCUGGUAUGGGACUCUGGUUCAAGAGUAAUGGCCAUUUGAAUGUUGACGGUUAUAGCGAUGCUGAUUGGGCUAGCUGUCUUGAUGAUAGACGAUCAACCUCUGGCUAUUGUGUGUUUGUUGGUGGAAAUUUGGUAUCAUGGAGAAGCAAAAAACAACCGGUGGUGUCAAAAUCAACUGCAGAAGCUGAGUAUAGGGCAAUGUCUCAAGGGCUGAGUGAGAUGUUAUGGGUAA